rnacentral:rRNA from 1 species
GACGAACGCUGGCGGCGUGCUUAACACAUGCAAGUCGAACGGAAAGGCCCUGCUUUUGUGGGGUGCUCGAGUGGCGAACGGGUGAGUAACACGUGAGUAACCUGCCCUUGACUUUGGGAUAACUUCAGGAAACUGGGGCUAAUACCGGAUAGGAGCUCCUGCUGCAUGGUGGGGGUUGGAAAGUUUCGGCGGUUGGGGAUGGACUCGCGGCUUAUCAGCUUGUUGGUGGGGUAGUGGCUUACCAAGGCUUUGACGGGUAGCCGGCCUGAGAGGGUGACCGGCCACAUUGGGACUGAGAUACGGCCCAGACUCCUACGGGAGGCAGCAGUGGGGAAUAUGGCACAAUGGGCGGAAGCCUGAUGCAGCAACGCCGCGUGCGGGAUGACGGCCUUCGGGUUGUAAACCGCUUCCGCCUGUGACGAAGCGUGAGUGACGGUAAUGGGUAAAGAAGCACCGGCUAACUACGUG